rnacentral:tRNA from 1 species
GGGGGCCUAGCUAAGGAGUAGAGCAUUUGACUACAGAUCAAGAGGUUCCUGAUUCAAAUCCAGGGGCCCCUC